rnacentral:misc_RNA from 1 species
CCAUUAGCUAACGUUUAUAAGUAUGCAAUAGUUAAGUCAAGGCAAUCUUCCAAGCCAAACUAUAAACUUUUAAAAUCCAAACCUGGUUAACUGGUUUUAACUGAUCCAAAACAAGAGUAAGAACGCUCUCCGGUAUCCAGAACAAUAGAAUCAAUAAUCAGAAUUGCAAGCCAUUAAUUGUCCAAACAUUCAUCAAACCCACAAAAACAUUUCUUGG